UCCUACGUCCGGCUUGGACACUAGCCGACAUAGCGGAUGACCCCGAGGAUGUUGAGGAGCAGAACGAGUACGAUACUCGUACCCGUCUAGGUACCACGGUCGAGACGGGACCUGUUCGCGACAGAGUGGCUCGAGAGCUCUUGCGGACCGUCAACGACGCGGGAGUGGUGCUAGGCACGGCUCCUGGCUCCGAAGGAGAGGGCGGCACCCUCCGCAACGCCCUACAGAGACUACGGCAGCGAUGUCGGAAGUUGGCAGCAAGGCUCGGCUGCAGGUCGACUGAUGUGGUCGAACAUGCUCAUGCCCACCAAGAGGGGGAUGAAGAAGGGGAGGUGGGUGACGAGGAGGGCGAGCAAGACAAAGAGGCGGAGGAAGGAGAUGAGGAGGAAGAAGGGGAUGAGGACAGAGAAGAGGAGGCGGAUGAGCUCGGUCCCUCGCAGCUAGAGGACGCACCAGAGUCGUCACAGCCGGAUAUCUCGCAGCCCGGCCCGUCUCGACCACGACGCCGGCGGGCUCCUUCGCAGGACUGGAGGUACACCCCCGACGUGCCUCGUCCUCGCACUAGAGGUAGGAGGAGGUGAGUGCAUGGUUCAAUGGAUGGAUGGAUAGAUGGAUGGACUUGAUGCAUGGUUCGAUGGAUGUAUGGACUGGAUGUAUGGACUCGACUGGAUGUAUAGACGAGGAUCGAUGGGAUGUUUUUAUUUCUUAUAUA